CGGGGCGUAGCGCAGCUUGGUUUAGCGCGCCUGCUUCGGGAGCAGGAGGUCGGAGGUUCAAAUCCUCUCGCCCCGACCA
rnacentral:tRNA from 1 species